UACGGAGGGUGCAAGCGUUAUCCGGAUUCACUGGGUUUAAAGGGUGCGUAGGUGGGCAGGUAAGUCAGUGGUGAAAUCUCUGGGCUUAACCCGGAAACUGCCAUUGAUACUAUUUGUCUUGAAUAUCGUGGAGGUCAGCGGAAUAUGUCAUGUAGCGGUGAAAUGCUUAGAUAUGACAUAGAACACCAAUUGCGAAGGCAGCUUACUACAGGGAUAUUGACACUGAGGCACGAAAGCGUGGGGAUCAAACAGG
rnacentral:rRNA from 1 species